UGAUAUGAUCCAAGAAGGAGGUGCUACUUUGGAAGCUUACAGUAAUGACCUUGCUUAUUUAAAGAAAAAGGUGGAUGCCGGUGCAGAUCUGAUAAUCACUCAGUUAUUUUACGAUACUGACAUUUUCCUCAAGUUUGUCAGUGACUGCCGUCAAAUUGGGAUAACUUGCCCAAUUGUUCCAGGAAUCAUGCCUA